rnacentral:rRNA from 1 species
AGGACGAACGCUGGCGGCGUGCUUAACACAUGCAAGUCGAGCGAACCUUCGGGUUAGCGGCGAACGGGUGAGUAGCACGUGGGCAACCUGCCCCGAGCUCUGGGAUAACUCCGGGAAACCGGGGCUAAUACCGGAUAUGACCCGAGAAGACAUCUUCUCGGGUGGAAAGUUUUUCGGCUCGGGAUGGGCCCGCGGCCUAUCAGCUUGUUGGUGGGGUAACGGCCUACCAAGGCGACGACGGGUAGCCGGCCUGAGAGGGCGACCGGCCACACUGGGACUGAGACACGGCCCAGACUCCUACGGGAGGCAGCAGUGGGGAAUAUUGCGCAAUGGGCGAAAGCCUGACGCAGCGACGCCGCGUGAGGGGAUGAAGGCCUUCGGGUUGUAAACCUCUUUCAGCAGGGACGAAGCGAAAGUGACGGUACCUGCAGAAGAAGCACCGGCCAACUACGUGCCAGCAGCCGC